CAUGCAGACACAGACACAAACACACAUAUGCAGACACACACACAGACACAGACACACACAGACACAGACACACACACACACACACGCAUACACGGACACAGACACACACGGACACACACAUGCAGACACGCAGACAGACACACACAGACACAUGCAGACAGACACAUACAGGGACACACAUGGACAUGGACACACAGACACACAGACACGCACACAGAGACAUACAUGCAGACACACACAGGGACACAGACGCAGAAACAGACACACAUCAGACACACAUAGACACACAGACACACAUGGACAGACACGCAGACACACACACGCACAGACACACAGACACGCAUGGACAGACAUGCAGACAUGGACACACACCGACACGCAAAGGGACAC
rnacentral:lncRNA from 1 species